ACGGGAGGCAGCAGUGGGGAAUAUUGCACAAUGGGCGCAAGCCUGAUGCAGCGAUGCCGCGUGAGGGAAGAAGGUUUUCGGAUUGUAAACCUCUGUCAACAGGGACGAAAAUGACGGUACCUGUGAAGGAAGCUCCGGCUAACUACGUGCCAGCAGCCGCGGUAAUACGUAGGGGGCAAGCGUUAUCCGGAUUUACUGGGUGUAAAGGGAGCGUAGACGGCGAGGCAAGUCUGAUGUGAAAGCUCGGGGCUCAACCCCGGAACUGCAUUGGAAACUGUUUUGCUAGAGUGUCGGAGAGGUAAGCGGAAUUCCUAGUGUAGCGGUGAAAUGCGUAGAUAUUAGGAGGAACACCAGUGGCGAAGGCGGCUUACUGGACGAUAACUGACGUUGAGGCUCGAAAGCGUGGGGAGCAAACAGGAUUAGAUACCCUGGUA
rnacentral:rRNA from 1 species